CAGGCUUAACACAUGCAAGUCGAGGGGCAGCAUGGUCUUAGCUUGCUAAGGCCGAUGGCGACCGGCGCACGGGUGAGUAACACGUAUCCAACCUGCCGUCUACUCUUGGACAGCCUUCUGAAAGGAAGAUUAAUACAAGAUGGCAUCAUGAGUCCGCAUGUUCACAUGAUUAAAGGUAUUCCGGUAGACGAUGGGGAUGCGUUCCAUUAGAUAGUAGGCGGGGUAACGGCCCACCUAGUCUUCGAUGGAUAGGGGUUCUGAGAGGAAGGUCCCCCACAUUGGAACUGAGACACGGUCCAAACUCCUACGGGAGGCAGCAGUGAGGAAUAUUGGUCAAUGGGCGCAGGCCUGAACCAGCCAAGUAGCGUGAAGGAUGACUGCCCUAUGGGUUGUAAACUUCUUUUAUAAAGGAAUAAAGUCGGGUAUGUAUACUCGUUUGCAUGUACUUUAUGAAUAAGGAUCGGCUAACUCCGUGCCAGCAGCCGCGGUAAUACGGAGGAUCCGAGCGUUAUCCGGAUUUAUUGGGUUUAAAGGGAGCGUAGAUGGAUGUUUAAGUCAGUUGUGAAAGUUUGCGGCUCAACCGUAAAAUUGCAGUUGAUACUGGAUAUCUUGAGUGCAGUUGAGGCAGGCGGAAUUCGUGGUGUAGCGGUGAAAUGCUUAGAUAUCACGAAGAACUCCGAUUGCGAAGGCAGCCUGCUAAGCUGCAACUGACAUUGAGGCUCGAAAGUGUGGGUAUCAAACAGGAUUAGAUACCCUGGUAGUCCACACGGUAAACGAUGAAUACUCGCUGUUUGCGAUAUACGGCAAGCGGCCAAGCGAAAGCGUUAAGUAUUCCACCUGGGGAGUACGCCGGCAACGGUGAAACUCAAAGGAAUUGACGGGGCCCGCACAAGCGGAGGAACAUGUGGUUUAAUUCGAUGAUACGCGAGGAACCUUACCCGGGCUUAAAUUGCAGAUGAAUUACGGUGAAAGCCGUAAGCCGCAAGGCAUCUGUGAAGGUGCUGCAUGGUUGUCGUCAGCUCGUGCCGUGAGGUGUCGGCUUAAGUGCCAUAACGAGCGCAACCCUUGUUGUCAGUUACUAACAGGUUCCGCUGAGGACUCUGACAAGACUGCCAUCGUAAGAUGUAAGGAAGGUGGGGAUGACGUCAAAUCAGCACGGCCCUUACGUCCGGGGCUACACACGUGUUACAAUGGGGGGUACAGAGGGCCGCUACCACGCGAGUGGAUGCCAAUCCCAAAAACCUCUCUCAGUUCGGACUGGAGUCUGCAACCCGACUCCACGAAGCUGGAUUCGCUAGUAAUCGCGCAUCAGCCACGGCGCGGUGAAUACGUUCCCGGGCCUUGUACACACCGCCCGUCAAGCCAUGGGAGCCGGGGGUACCUGAAGUGCGUAACCGCGAGGAGCGCCCUAGGGUAAAACUGGUGACUGGGGCUAAGU
rnacentral:rRNA from 1 species